rnacentral:lncRNA from 1 species
UAUUGGGGGAAGUACACUAAUUGCUCAAUAUAAAAAUGCUUAUAUUGAAAGUUGUGGAAAAAAUAUAUUAAACUCGAAAAAGUUUCGAAUUUGGUUUAAUAUAGUUCGUUUCUUUUCAGUUGUAUCAAAUAUAUAUUGUAUUUUAGAAAGUUUAAAAUUGUUUUACAAUAGUGAAAAUAAUUUAUAUUAUAACAGACCAGGUGUGCUUAUUGAUGUUGAAGAUUAUGGUUUUUUGAAAGGUGUUAAUUAUUUAGAUUAUAUUAAAAACACAUCAAUACCUGUUACAAAAUAUUAUAGUGUUUUAUCAUCUGUUUAUCUUAAAAAUGGUUUUAAAGACGGUGAAAACAUAAUGGGUGCUCCAUACGAUUGGAGAUAUCCACUUAAACAACAAGACUAUAAAUUAUUGAAGUCUCAUAUAGAGUACUCAUAUAAAAUGAAUAAUCAUUCGAAAGCAGUUUUAAUAGGUCAUAGUUUAGGUGGUUUGUUUAUAAAUUAUUUUUUAACUCAUACAGUUAAUAAACAAUGGAAAACAAAAUAUUUAAAUUCUAUAAUAUAUAUAAAUACUCCAUUCAAAGGGUCUAACAAAACCGUACGUGCUUUAAUACAUGGAAAUAAAAAUUUUAUUUCUGUUGAAUUGGGAAAAUUUGCUCAUUUUUAUGUAGCUGAUAAUAUAAUUAAGGUAGUUGGACAUUUUAUAGGUUCUUUAUUUGAUCUCAUUCCAUAUAGAGAAUUCUACGAACAUGAUAAUGUGAUAAUAAUAAUAAAUUUAGACACACAACCAAUUGAUGUAAAUUAUAUAACAUCUAUAAUAAAACAAUGUGGUAUAUAUAAUAAAAAUUGUUAUCUUAACAGAACAGAUUUAAAUCUAAAAGUAUACACAUUAUCAACUUGGCAUGAAUUAUUAACUGACGAAUUAAAAGAAAAAUAUAAAAAUUACCAACAAUAUAGAGAACGAUUUUACUCAAUGGACCAUGGUAUACCAAUACAUUGUGUUUUUAGUAAAAAAAAUAUCAGAGGUACAGAAUAUUUAUAUUUUUUUCAAAAUAAAGACCUAACUGAAGAUCCUAUUAUCUAUGCAGAAGAUGGGGAUGGAACAGUGGGUUCAGAUAGUUUAAAAGCUUGUGAAAAUUUUUAUAAUUAUAAAGAUUCUAAGAUUUUUGAUAAUGUUGGACACAGGGGAAUUUUAUAUAACAAUGAGGCUGUUAAUUAUAUAUAUAAUUUAUCAAGGACCAUUGCCGAUAAUUAGGCUUAUAUAUAUAUAUAUAUGUAUUUGUGGGUGGUGGGUAUUGACACUUAUAAAAGAAUUAUCCCAAAUGGCAUCAUGUGAAUAAG